rnacentral:misc_RNA from 1 species
GAUGAAGAACGUAGCGAAAUGCGAUAAGUAAUGUGAAUUGCAGAAUUCAGUGAAUCAUCGAAUCUUUGAACGCACAUUGCGCCCGCCAGUAUUCUGGCGGGCAUGCCUGUUCGAGCGUCAUUACAACCCUCAGGCCCCCGGGCCUGGCGUUGGGGAUCGGCGGAAGCCCCCUGCGGGCACAACGCCGUCCCCCAAAUACAGUGGCGGUCCCGCCGCAGCUUCCAUUGCGUAGUAGCUAACACCUCGCAACUGGAGAGCGGCGCGGCCACGCCGUAAAACACCCAACUUCUGAAUGUUGACCUCGAAUCAGGUAGGAAUACCCGCUGAACUUAAGCAUAUCAAUAAGCGGAAGGA